rnacentral:lncRNA from 1 species
GUUGCCAUUAGAGUUUUUGAUUAAUCAUUUGAAUUUAAAUGCUAGGAGUCCUUAAAUUUUGGAAAAAUAAGUGUCCUAUUUCCAAUCCCAGAUUAGGAAAAUAGUUCACUUGUAUCAAGAUUAGAGAUGGGUCUGUAACACUUGUAUACGCCAUUGAUUAGAGAGAAGAAUUUAGUAGAGAUCGAAAUAAAUUAUAGGAAUUCCCUCUUUCUACAUUGUGUGACCCCUUCAUGAAGAUCACAACUCUACAAGUGCAAUUUAUAAUUCCCAGGCCCCUUUAGAGAGGAUUCUGCCAUAUUUUCAGUUUUUCCCAUUGACAAAUCAUACUUGCAGAUAAGCAUUGAUUUCAUCAAUGGACGAUUUAAACCAAUGUACACAUAUCCGACCACAAAUUCACAUAGCUUUAAAUAUUUCGUCUAAAAUUAACAAAUUGUUAGUGAGAUUAAAACCACAUAGCUUUAAAUAUUUCGUCUAAAAUUAACAAAUUGCUCAUUUUCUUUGGCAUCUACCUAAAAGCGAAAUCAUCAAAUAAGAAAACUUUAAGGCAGUUAUGUUGGGCUGUAG